GACGAACGCUGGCGGCGUGCUUAACACAUGCAAGUCGAACGGAAAGGCCCUGCUUUUGUGGGGUGCUCGAGUGGCGAACGGGUGAGUAACACGUGAGUAACCUGCCCUUGACUUUGGGAUAACUUCAGGAAACUGGGGCUAAUACCGGAUAGGAGCUCCUGCCGCAUGGUGGGGGUUGGAAAGUUUCGGCGGUUGGGGAUGGACUCGCGGCUUAUCAGCUUGUUGGUGGGGUAGUGGCUUACCAAGGCUUUGACGGGUAGCCGGCCUGAGAGGGUGACCGGCCACAUUGGGACUGAGAUACGGCCCAGACUCCUACGGGAGGCAGCAGUGGGGAAUAUUGCACAAUGGGCGGAAGCCUGAUGCAGCAACGCCGCGUGCGGGAUGACGGCCUUCGGGUUGUAAACCGCUUUCGCCUGUGACGAAGCGUGAGUGACGGUAAUGGGUACAGAAGCACCGGCUAACUACGUG
rnacentral:rRNA from 1 species